UGGCUUCGCAAAAGAAUGCUGGCAACAGAAAGGUUUCGACUCUAACGUGUGGGACAUAGAAAGCAGCCAUGAAUGGUUACUUCAUACUUUGGCUAAUGGUCCAGAUGAGGUUUUGGUUAAAAUGGCAUCAGUUCUCUGGGGAGUAUGGUUUGCAAGGAAUAAACGCAUUUUUGAGAAUAGAUUUAUGUCACCAGCCACUGUCAUGGCUUGGAGUGCGAAACAAAUUUUAGAGUGGCAAAUAGCUAAUAAGAAAGUCUCAUUUUCACCACACCUGAGCAACAGACAGCAGGGAGAUGGUCGGAAGUGGCAAGUUUCAGAGCAAGGGUGCUUAAAAAUUAAUGUUGAUGCAUCGGUUGUGGA
rnacentral:lncRNA from 1 species